UACGUAGGUGGCAAGCGUUGUCCGGAUUUACUGGGCGUAAAGAGCGCGCAGGCGGUCGUUCAAGUCGCGUGUGAAAGCCCCCCGGCUCAACUGGGGAGGUCACGCGAUACUGAUCGACUCGAAGGCAGGAGAGGGUAGUGGAAUUCCCGGUGUAGUGGUGAAAUGCGUAGAGAUGUGGAGGAAUACCGAUGGCGAAGGCAGCCCCCUGGGAUAACACU
rnacentral:rRNA from 1 species